rnacentral:rRNA from 1 species
GACAGCAGUAGCCGCGGUAAUACGAAGGGGGCUAGCGUUGUUCGGAUUUACUGGGCGUAAAGCGCACGUAGGCGGAUCGAUCAGUCAGGGGUGAAAUCCCAGAGCUCAACUCUGGAACUGCCUUUGAUACUGUCGAUCUGGAGUAUGGAAGAGGUGAGUGGAAUUCCAGGUGUAGCGGUGAAAUGCGUAGAGAUCUGGAGGAAUACCGGUGGCGAAGGCGGCCCCCUGGACAAAGACUGACGCUCAGGUGCGAAAGCGUGGGGAGCAAACAGGAUUAGAUACCCGUGUAGUCCCUGUCUCUUAUAC